AGCAUCUAAAACAUGCAGGUCAGUGUGCCUUGAGGACCAAACGCUGCUUUUAGCGUACAUUUGAUCAUUUGCAGCAAAAAAAAAAAAAAACUUCUACCAUCAACAUGCAAAAAGCUCAGUCAUUUCUGCUUGGCCUAACAUCAUCACAAUAGUACAGAUGCUUCAGAACAUCAGAGGGAGAAAGAUGGAGGAGACGGCAGGAAUUCACAUAACACCGGCGCACCUCAGUUUCCAGGACGAUGUAUUCCUUUGGCGACGCAGGCAGAAGAAGCUGAAGCGUCAUGGAUUUGAGAAUGAAGUGGUAAACGGUUCACAGAGUUUGUAAACGCCUCUUGGAAGAAGAAGGUUCCUCUGCAUCGUUCUCGGCAUUCCCCCUCCUGCGGCUCACGACUCCCUGCUAUGCAAGAACGAGUCCCACAACACUCAUUUUCACUCCUUCACAAGCAAACACAAACAUCAAACAACAGCUACUACGACUCAAACCUUUAAGAUCUUCUCUCUCUUUUUUUUUUCUUGGAGCACCUACACAAGCUAUGGACCACAGAUUGUGUUUCCUUGCACUACAUAAGGUCUUUUUUUACCACACAAAGUAGCGUGUAACAGAAACUAAAUCUGUUCUUCAUGAUGCAAAAGUAACAGCUUUGCAGGAUUAAUACUCGUCUGGAAACAUAAUGACUUUUCACAUCAUUGUUUGCCUCAAAAAUCUAAUUUAUUUCAAACUGCAUCUCCUCUUCCUUAAAUGCGUUUCGUGGGAAACUAAAGAGUUAUGCUGUUAGGUUCCCAAACGCAGCAGGAGCACAGCGUGAGGCCGCGACACAUCAAAUGAGAUCACCUCCAGCAAGGGCGAACCUCAUCUGGAGGUCUCUGUGAGCGGACUGAAAACUUUCCACCAAAUGUCUUAAACUGACAGAUUUUUACCAUUAUCUUCCUGCAGAUCAGGAAGCUUUCUGCUGCAGUUAAUUGGAUUCAUUGCAUGAAUAUUACAGGGAACCAGAGUGCAACUAAUUUGCUCUCAAAUGUGACUAAAAGUCUCUGGAGUGCAACGUUUUUUCCCCCAGUUGCACUGGUGUGACCGACAUUAAGGCUGUUUGGUUCCUUAUGGAUUUAUCUUGUUUUGUAAAUGUUUCAGUUGAAAUAAAUAAUAUAGUAAGUAACCUGA